AUUGAACGCUGGCGGCAGGCUUAACACAUGCAAGUCGAGCGGGGUGAUGGUGCUUGCACUAUCACUUAGCGGCGGACGGGUGAGUAAUGCUUAGGAAUCUGCCUAUUAGUGGGGGACAACAUCUCGAAAGGGAUGCUAAUACCGCAUACGUCCUACGGGAGAAAGCAGGGGAUCACUUGUGACCUUGCGCUAAUAGAUGAGCCUAAGUCGGAUUAGCUAGUUGGUGGGGUAAAGGCCUACCAAGGCGACAAUCUGUAGCGGGUCUGAGAGGAUGGUCCGCCACACUGGGACUGAGACACGGCCCAGACUCCUACGGGAGGUAGCAGUGGGGAAUAUUGGACAAUGGGGGGAACCCUGAUCCAGCCAUGCCGCGUGUGUGAAGAAGGCCUUAUGGUUGUAAAGCACUUUAAGCGAGGAGGAGGCUCUUUUGGUUAAUACCCAAGAUGAGUGGACGUUACUCGCAGAAUAAGCACCGGCUAACUCUGUGCCAGCCGCCGCCGUAA
rnacentral:rRNA from 1 species